UAGAAGAUAAGGCUGGUCCUUCAAUGA
rnacentral:sRNA from 1 species